AUAUUGUUUAAUUUGAUUCCGAAUCAGUUCGACGAUAACUUAUGGUUCUAAAUCCAUUUUUGGAGCACAUGUUACAACUGCAUCCUCCAUAGUGAGGAAGAUCCUAUAUUCCCUUAUCAUCUCAUGAAAUUUUGAUGCAUGGAGCUUGUCAACCACAAUUGGCCUUGGAUUUGCCAAAAUGUUGAGAAAGGAAAACAAUUAGCUGGGUAGUUAGAGUUAGUUUGUGUAAGUUAGUUUGUUAGCAGAGUUUAUAAGUGUAGACUGUACUAUCAGAUUUACAACACAUUAAUGAAUUCUUGAUCAUUUUCAACAUGGUAUCAAAGCUAGGGAAAUCGUUGUUUACUAGUGGUUCAUAAUCUCGCCGUUCAUAAUCGUCGGUGUUCCUUGAGUCGUUCAUGAUUUUGCAGAAUUGAACUGUUUUCAGGUUUUUCAGUUUACUUUGUUUUGCCGCUUGUUUUUGGCCUUUAUCGGCUAGUUAGUAAGUUUUUUUAGUUGGGUCAUAUUGGCCCAAGGCUAGCUAUUAGGUGGUUUCUUGGUCAUCAUUCUAGGGCACUCUUCAAUUGUUGCUUUCUGGUUUUACUCAACGUUUCUCUUGAAGCUCCAACUUUGGGGAUUUUGCGUCAUGGCUAUUGAAUCAGUCCUUGAUUUCAAUCAUCCGCUUUACUUACAUCCUUCCGAUACUCCAGGUACGCUAUUAGUUUCUCACCAAUUGACUGGAGUUGAAAACUAUAAUGUCUGGAGCCAAACCAUGAAAAUUGCACUGCUGGCCAAAAAUAAAUUAAGAUUGGUGGGUGGUUAUUGUUCCAAGGAGUUGUUUCUUGGAGAAUUAGGAUACCAGUAGGAGAGGUGUAAUGCUAUUGUUUUAUCUAGGAUAUUAAAUACGGUCAGCAAAGAGCUUUCGGAAGGGAUUGUUUUUACUUCUAGUGCAGCAGUAGUAUAGAGUGAUCUUGGUGAACGAUUCCAUAAAGUGGAUAGUUCAAGAAUUUUUUUCUGCAUUGUGAAAUUGCCUCGCAGCUUCAAGGUACUGCUUCCAUCUCUACGUAUUUUUCUAAGUUGCGAUUGCUUUGGGAUGAAUAUGAUGCGCUUGUGCCAUCUUUUUCUUGUGGAUGUGUCUAAUCUAAACAGAGAGUUGCGCAUGUUUCGCAAUAACAUUUGUUCCAGUUUCUCAUGAGGUUGAAUGAGACGUAUAAUGCGGUGUGUAGUCAAAUUAUGUUGAUGAAUCCAUUACCGUUUGUCAACAAUGCAUACUCAAUGCUUAUGCAAGAAGAGUCCUAGAGACAACAUAGCUCCAGUGCUAUUGAGGUUGAUUCGAUUUCUUUUUCUUCAGUUCAGAUGGUAUAAAAGAAACGAUUUACUGGAACUUGUGAUCAUUGCAAGGUUAAAGGGCAUAAAAGAGAGAAUUGUUAUAGGAUAAUUGGUUAUCCUGUAGAUUUUAAGUUUACCAAGAAAAAGGCGAACAAUGGUUCCGGAUCCGCAGUGAAUAAUGCUUCUGCUGCUGCUCUUGUACUUGAUAAUGAAGUGAUUGAUUUCGUUAGUUCUCAUCCACAGGCACCAAUGUUUACUCAGGAAUAGUAUCAUCAAAUUUUGAGUUUGUUGAACAAGGAACCUACAGUUGAGGUUACUGCCAGUCUAGCAGGUAUAAUUGAUGUUGGUUACAAUUGGAUUCUGGAUACUGGGGCGACUGGCCAUAUACUUUCUGAUUUUCAAUUCUUAGAAUCUCAUGCUGUGUGUGCAUCAAGUUCACCUUGUGUUCGACUCUCAAAUGGUUCAUCUGUUUCCGUUACUCAUGAUCUCUCUAGUGGAAAGAUGAAGGGGAUUGGUAAGGCACAUAGUGGUCUUUACAUCCUCGAUCCAGCCCGACAGACUCGUGUAGUUUUGCCCUCAUCCGUUGUCGCUGUUGCUUCCGUUGACUCAUCCUUUCUUUGGCACACUAGACUUGGUAAUGCUUCGGUUUCAAGAUUGAAUAAGGUGCCUAACCUUCCUUGUACAGCCUCAAAUAUUGAUAGUAUAAACCAAUGUCCUAUAUGUCCUUUUGCUAAACAAACUAGGCGUCCAUUUCCCAUCUGUGCGUCUCGUGUUGAUGUUGUUUUUUCCUUUAUUCAUAUCGACUUGUGGAGACCUUAUCAGGUUUCUACUCAUCAUGGCCAUAGAUUUUUCUUAACAAUUGUUGAUGAUUACACAAGGAUGACAUGGGUGUAUUUGUUACGGUAUAAAAGUGAUGGGUUUGUUUGUCUUAAACAA